CCUCUCUCUUGUGCAGGGAAACGGAUCGAGUGAGCACGAGAAAAAUCCCAGCACGGAUCGAGCUCGUUCUUCAACAGCCAUCCUCUGCCCGCAAGGUACAGAUUGCAUACGACAUCGCAAGCAGUUGGAUCUUACUAUUAUUGGGGACAUCAAAGAUAAAGAGGAUGGCACAGUUGCGUUGCUUCAGAGGAACUCAAGCUCACCCCUCGGAGUUCUGAUCAUUUGUCGUUGGCCACGGAUGCAUACAGUGUUCGAUCGACGCUGAAGCUAAUAAGAACGUAACGCACACCUGCCUUGCUUUAUCAGUAGCAUUAAACAAUCCUCUCUAAGCUUGAUUGCGCAAGCAUCGUGCGUGUCACUUUCGUGCAUGGAUUAGCUUGUCGUCUCGGACUCUCGCUUUCUUCAUUUUCCCCUAGCUGCUAGCUCCGGACCCGCCGGCCCUGCAUGGAUCGCACAAAGAGACAGGUCGGCUGAGUGCGUGGGAACGAAAGAUUGGACCGUCGACCUCGUCCUUGUGGGAGCACGAUGACCUAAACUGCUAAAGCUAGACCACUCUGGUUGGAAAAUAGCAGCAGCAGGUGAUUGGUAAUUUCAUCUGUCGUCAUCCAUUCGGUCACAAAGUAAAGGCUCACAUUUGAGUUAGGUCUUUCUGCAUUCAGUCAAUGAACUCAAUGUGCAACACUUUAGCUUAUACAGUAUAAAUUAAAGUAGAUGCUGCUGCAUGUUCUGCCCUC